ensembl:lncRNA
UGGGGAGUCCCCAGGCUGGUGCUGGGGGCUUGUGCUGGGGUCUUGCUUCCAGCUGGCAAGAAAAGUGGGGAGAAGAUAAUGGUCUAUACUCCACCCUGACAGGAGCUCCUGGUUUUGGAGGCACGAACAUCCUUACCAAGCUGUGUCCAGGCUGUGAUGCUAACAUUAGACAACAGAGAGGUGACUCAGUCCUUUCAGUACAUGUUUCCGUGUUCCCAGCUGCUGUAGGAAAUAAACAUCUUACCACCCAGGCUCUGCAAGGACCAAGAUAACGGCAAAAAUGAGGCCAGCAGAGAUGACCAUCUUUACAGACUCCCACGGCACCCAGCAUGACCCAUUAAAAAUCAGCUCCAGACCGGGC